rnacentral:rRNA from 1 species
UGACAAACCGGAGGAAGGUAGGGGACGACGUCAAGUCAUCAUGGCCCUUACUGUCCUCGGGCUACACACGUGCUACAAUGGCCGGUACAGAGUGAAGCGAAACCGCGAGGUGAAGCAAAACGCAGAAAGCCGGUACUCAGUACGGAUUGGAGUCUGAAACUCGACUUCAUGAAGUUGGAAUCGCUAGUAAUCGCGCAUCAGCAUGGCGCGGUGAAUACGUUCCCGGGCCUU